rnacentral:misc_RNA from 1 species
CGGGACUACCGGGGUUUCUAAUCCUGUUUGCUCCCCACGCUUUCGCGCCUCAGCGUCAAUUACGGGCCAGAUAGCCGCCUUCGCCACCGGUGUUCUUCCCAAUAUCUACGAAUUUCACCUCUACACUGGGAAUUCCACUAUCCUCUCCCGCAUUCAAGCCAAUCAGUAUCAAGCGCAGCCCCCAGGUUGAGCCCGGGAAUUUCACGCCUGACUUGAUCGGCCGCCUACGCGCCCUUUACGCCCAGUAAUUCCGAACAACGCUUGCCCCCUUCGUAUUACCGCGGCUGCUGACAC